ACAUGCAAGUCGAGCGGAAGAUGGGAGCUUGCUCCCUGAUGUUAGCGGCGGACGGGUGAGUAACACGUGGGUAACCUGCCUGUAAGACUGGGAUAACUCCGGGAAACCGGGGCUAAUACCGGAUGGUUGUUUGAACCGCAUGGUUCAAACAUAAAAGGUGGCUUCGGCUACCACUUACAGAUGGACCCGCGGCGCAUUAGCUAGUUGGUGAGGUAACGGCUCACCAAGGCGACGAUGCGUAGCCGACCUGAGAGGGUGAUCGGCCACACUGGGACUGAGACACGGCCCAGACUCCUACGGGAGGCAGCAGUAGGGAAUCUUCCGCAAUGGACGAAAGUCUGACGGAGCAACGCCGCGUGAGUGAUGAAGGUUUUCGGAUCGUAAAGCUCUGUUGUUAGGGAAGAACAAGUACCGUUCGAAUAGGGCGGUACCUUGACGGUACCUAACCAGAAAGCCACGGCUAACUACGUGCCAGCAGCCGCGGUAAUACGUAGGUGGCAAGCGUUGUCCGGAAUUAUUGGGCGUAAAGGGCUCGCAGGCGGUUUCUUAAGUCUGAUGUGAAAGCCCCCGGCUCAACCGGGGAGGGUCAUUGGAAACUGGGGAACUUGAGUGCAGAAGAGGAGAGUGGAAUUCCACGUGUAGCGGUGAAAUGCGUAGAGAUGUGGAGGAACACCAGUGGCGAAGGCGACUCUCUGGUCUGUAACUGACGCUGAGGAGCGAAAGCGUGGGGAGCGAACAGGAUUAGAUACCCUGGUAGUCCACGCCGUAAACGAUGAGUGCUAAGUGUUAGGGGGUUUCCGCCCCUUAGUGCUGCAGCUAACGCAUUAAGCACUCCGCCUGGGGAGUACGGUCGCAAGACUGAAACUCAAAGGAAUUGACGGGGGCCCGCACAAGCGGUGGAGCAUGUGGUUUAAUUCGAAGCAACGCGAAGAACCUUACCAGGUCUUGACAUCCUCUGACAAUCCUAGAGAUAGGACGUCCCCUUCGGGGGCAGAGUGACAGGUGGUGCAUGGUUGUCGUCAGCUCGUGUCGUGAGAUGUUGGGUUAAGUCCCGCAACGAGCGCAACCCUUGAUCUUAGUUGCCAGCAUUCAGUUGGGCACUCUAAGGUGACUGCCGGUGACAAACCGGAGGAAGGGGGGGAUGACGUCAAAUCAUCAUGCCCCUUAUGACCUGGGCUACACCCGUGCUCCAAUGGACAGAACAAAGGGCAGCGAAACCGCGAGGUUAAGCCAAUCCCAAAAAUCUGUUCUCAGUUAGGAU
rnacentral:rRNA from 1 species